UACAGAGGGUGCAAACGUUGUUCGGAAUCACUGGGCAUAAAGCGCACGUAGGUGGCGACGUAAGUCGGGUGUGAAAGCCCCGGGCUCAACCUGGGAAUUGCAUUCGAGACUGCAUUGCUGGAGUACGGAAGAGGAGGGCGGAAUUCCCGGUGUAGCGGUGAAAUGCGUAGAUAUCGGGAGGAACAUCAGUGGCGAAGGCGGCCCUCUGGUCCAGUACUGACACUCAAGUGCGAAAGCGUGGGGAGCAAACAGG
rnacentral:rRNA from 1 species